AAUUAUUUUGUCCGUGCAGUUUGGGUCAUAAAACAUAGCCCGGCUAAGGCGGUGAGCAUGUUGUGUGGGCGCAACGCCAUUAUCGAUAAAAUGUAUACGAAGGGUGGUGAGACAUUGUUAUGUUAAGAGUCAUUUGUACUUACCUGCAAAUUAUAGCACAUUAUGUCGAAGAGUAAUGUGUUUCUAUGCAUUCAUUCUCUGAAUUUCUUUAGUGGCACAAUGGCUACUUCUUUGUUUUGUAUCAAAACGGCAGAAUUUAUUCAAAAUAAUAUUUGCACGUGUUAAAACAACAAUGUGUUAAAAAAAAUCACUGAAAUAAGAAUAAAUCCCGAAAAGUUACAAAGUGUUAAUUUCUGACGUUCUCGUUAACUUGCUGCUGCGAUAUGUGGCGUAAGUGUUCGAUUAGUGAUUCUUACUUUCAUUUUUAUCACUAACCCACAAAAUGACAAAACUAAAUACACUAUCGAUAACGCUUAUCGACAACAAUAAUGCGCAUCACUAUGCCCGUCCAUAAGACUCGUGGGUGGAAGAGAGAGCGAAAUACUCGCUUCACCGCUCCGAUUUUUUAUGACCCAAACUGCACGGACAAAAUAAUUCUACUAUAGUUCACUUCAAACACAGCCAAUGUCAACUCGUCUCACAAUGCCGCAGUGUGUAUUCAAAAGCCGCAAAAAUAAUGCCCGAAAAAGCAAUUUAUCGGCCGGAGUAUUUUACUUUCGAUUUCCUAGCAAUUUACGUGUGCAGAAUUAAUCUCGAUUGUCGCCAGAGAAAGAAGAGAUGACUUUUAUAAGCGAGCUAAGAAUUCGGUUAUAUGUUCCGAUCACUUUGAUAAAUCGGAUAUAUCCGGAAAUACUAACCAACGUCGAUUGGUUAAAACAGCUGUUCUUAAAUUACAGCCUCUAUCGUCGAGUUCUAGGUUAGACAUGACACAAAAGGCCACCUAUAUCCAAGACCAAGCAGAGCAUAUUUCUGUUAUGACCUCUCCUGUUGCAUCAUUAUCAGAAUUAAUAUCAGUUUGUGGAACACCCAGAAAGAGAUUUCUGCAUAAACAGUUACUCACUGCUCGCAAAGUCACAGAUAAUAAAUAAAAAAAUUCAAACAUUGCAAAAAUUGAACAAGAAACUGAGAAAAAAAAUCACUUCUUUAAAAAAUAUAGUUUGUUGAAAAAAAAAAUUUUAGAUGAGACAGUCUUGAAAAACUGAUCAAAAUAUGUUGAAAUUGCACAAGUGUUUAAUGGGAUAUACGUAAAGAAUAAAAAACAGCGUAAAAAACCAUUUUCAAAAUAUCCACCUGGUGCCAGAAGGUUUGCCUUAAGGCUCCAUUUUUAAGCACCUCGCAGCCUCGCAGCCAGCUCUAGGCAUCCUGGCUGCCGCAACCGAAAUGCUUAUAGAAGCCAAUCGACGCCCAUUUAUGGUCCUUUCGUCGAGCGAUUUGGACAUUAUCUCGUAAAAAACGCAAGGCAAAGUAAAGACACUGGAUUCAUCCUCUUUUUCUAGAACGGCACUCAAAAGGCUUAUUCUAUAACUAUUUUGAAGAUGUUCAUACAUACCCAGAUCAGUUUUUUUCUCGCUCUAUCUGCGCACAGCCAAUGGGCUGCCGUGCAACAGGCGCGUUGUAUUGGCUGCCGCAGCCAAGAGUUCCGGGCUGCCUAAUGCGCGGGGAGUCUUACUCCCCUGCUGCUUUUAAGAACGUGCAUAAAAUGUUCAACACAUACUUACCACACCCUAAUACGUUGUUCGAAUGGUAUCGGAGUAUCGAUGCGGAACCCGGAUUUUGUGCAGAAACUUUGAAUAGGUUAGAAGCAAAGGCAAAACAAAGUUAAAAAAAUUUAUUAUGCACCCUUGUUGCCGAUUAUAUGACAAUAAGAAGACAAAAAUAUGGACGAGCAAGCGUUAUGAGGGUUUGGUACACGUCGGAUUGGGAAGCGAUGAUAACAAUCAAAUAGCUACUCAGGCAUACGUCUUUAUGUUGGUUGCAAUUAAUGAUAGUUGGAAAUUACCACUGGCUUGCUUUUUCAUUGACACAUAGACAGACAUGAAAGCCAAUUCGAGUAAGACAGUACUAGAAAAAUGAGAAAAAAUAGGGGUUCAGAUUUAUCCGGUAACAUUUGAUGGUUGUAAAAGUAACAUUGUAACCAUGAAAAUUCUAGAGUGCGAGAUAAAUAAUGCAGAAAAUAUUAAAACAAACUUUAGACAUCCUUGUGCUGAUUACGAUAUUGUUGUGUACCUAGAUGCUUGUUAUAUGGUAAAGUUAAGGAGAAAUACUUUUGAAUCAAAAAAAAAAAAACCCCACCCCUAAUCAAAAACAGAUUAAGUGGCAAUUCAUUACUAAAUUACACAAUUUGCAAGACAAAAAUAAUUUACAUUUAGCAAAUAAAUUAUCUCGUAGGCACUUAUUUUUCAAAAAUCAAAUAAUCAACGUUAGAUUGGCCACACAGUUACUGAUAAUCUUUCUAAUAAUCUUUGUUCCACAUUGGGCGAAAGUUCAUUUUCUAGUGUUAUGCCGCAAAAGUACGAUUUAUUUAGGGAUUCGCUGUAAGUAAAUAAAGUGUGACCAGUGAAUAAAUAACUUGUGUGCAGCAGAUAAACAAUUCUUUCACAAAUUAAUAGACCUAAGAGACAUGAGCGGGUCAUUCUAUGCCUCUACCGAUGUAUUUGCUAUUUGUAUGAAAACUGAAAGCGUUAACCUAAAUUGUAUUCGCGUGAGUAGAGGUAAAUCGUUACUAAAAAAGUGUGAUAGCAACUUCAUAAUAUGUACAACAAAUUACAAUUAACAAAAUGGCGGUAGGCUAAAUAAAAACUUUAAUAUUACUCAUUGACACUGGACAUCUUUGUCUUCCGUGAUCACGGCUAUUGAUAAGUGGCCAAAACAUUGUAAUAAAAAUACCGCGCUUAAAACCGUUUAAA